AACGCACAGCGAAAGGUGCUUGCACCUUUCAAGUGAGUGGCGAACGGGUGAGUAACACGUGGACAACCUGCCUCAAGGCUGGGGAUAACAUUUGGAAACAGAUGCUAAUACCGAAUAAAACUUAGUGUCGCAUGACACAAAGUUAAAAGGCGCUUCGGCGUCACCUAGAGAUGGAUCCGCGGUGCAUUAGUUAGUUGGUGGGGUAAAGGCCUACCAAGACAAUGAUGCAUAGCCGAGUUGAGAGACUGAUCGGCCACAUUGGGACUGAGACACGGCCCAAACUCCUACGGGAGGCUGCAGUAGGGAAUCUUCCACAAUGGGCGAAAGCCUGAUGGAGCAACGCCGCGUGUGUGAUGAAGGCUUUCGGGUCGUAAAGCACUGUUGUAUGGGAAGAACAGCUAGAAUAGGAAAUGAUUUUAGUUUGACGGUACCAUACCAGAAAGGGACGGCUAAAUACGUGCCAGCAGCCGCGGUAAUACGUAUGUCCCGAGCGUUAUCCGGAUUUAUUGGGCGUAAAGCGAGCGCAGACGGUUUAUUAAGUCUGAUGUGAAAGCCCGGAGCUCAACUCCGGGAAUGGCAUUGGGAAACUGGUUAACUUGAGUGCAGUAGAGGUAAGUGGAACUCCAUGUGUAGCGGUGGAAUGCGUAGAUAUAUGGAAGAACACCAGUGGCGAAGGCGGCUUACUGGACUGCAACUGACGUUGAGGCUCGAAAGUGUGGGUAGCAAACAGGAUUAGAUACCCUGGUAGUCCACACCGUAAACGAUGAACACUAGGUGUUAGGAGGUUUCCGCCUCUUAGUGCCGAAGCUAACGCAUUAAGUGUUCCGCCUGGGGAGUACGACCGCAAGGUUGAAACUCAAAGGAAUUGACGGGGACCCGCACAAGCGGUGGAGCAUGUGUUUAAUUCGAAGCAACGCGAAGAACCUUACCAGGU
rnacentral:rRNA from 1 species